rnacentral:tRNA from 1 species
UGGGCUAUAGCCAAGCGGUAAGGCAACGGGUUUUGAUCCCGUCAUGCGCUGGUUCGAUCCCAGCUAGCCCAA